CUACGUGCCAGCAGCCGCGGUAAUACGUAGGGUGCGAGCGUUAAUCGGAAUUACUGGGCGUAAAGCGGGCGCAGACGGUUACUUAAGCAGGAUGUGAAAUCCCCGGGCUCAACCUGGGAACUGCGUUCUGAACUGGGUGACUAGAGUGUGUCAGAGGGAGGUAGAAUUCCACGUGUAGCAGUGAAAUGCGUAGAGAUGUGGAGGGAUACCGAUGGCGAAGGCAGCCUCCUGGGAUAACACUGACGUUCAUGCCCGAAAGCGUGGGUAGCAAACAGGAUUAGAUACCCUGGUAGUCCACGCCCUAAACGAUGUCGAUUAGCUGUUGGGCAGCAUGACUGCUUAGUAGCGAAGCUAACGCGUGAAAUCGACCGCCUGGGGAGUACGGUCGCAAGAUUAAAACUCAAAGGAAUUGACGGGGACCCGCACAAGCGGUGGAUGAUGUGGAUUAAUUCGAUGCAACGCGAAGAACCUUACCUGGUCUUGACAU
rnacentral:rRNA from 1 species